UACGUAGGGUGCAAGCGUUAAUCGGAAUUACUGGGCGUAAAGCGUGCGCAGGCGGUUGUGCAAGACAGAUGUGAAAUCCCCGGGCUCAACCUGGGAAUUGCAUUUGUGACUGCACGGCUAGAGUGUGUCAGGAGGGGGUAGAAUUCCACGGUGUAGCAGUGAAAUGCGUAGAGAAUGUGGAGGAAUACCGAUGGCGAAGGCAGCCCCUGGGAUAACACUGACGCUCAUGCACGAAGCGUGGGAGCAACAGGAUAGAU
rnacentral:rRNA from 1 species